rnacentral:rRNA from 1 species
UAACGAACCGAAAGGUUCACUAAUACCGCAUAAGACCACAACGUCACAUGGCGAAGAGGUCAAAGGAGAAAUCCGGUUUGGGGUGGGCUCGCGUCUGAUUAGCUAGUUGGUGGGGUAACGGCCUACCAAGGCGACGAUCAGUAGCCGACCUGAGAGGGUGAUCGGCCACAUUGGAACUGAGACACGGUCCAAACUCCUACGGGAGGCAGCAGUGGGGAAUAUUGGGCAAUGGGCGAAAGCCUGACCCAGCAACGCCGCGUGAAGGAAGAAGGUUUUCGGAUCGUAAACUUCUAUCCUUGGUGAAGAUAAUGACGGUAGCCAAGAAGGAAGCCCCGGCUAACUACGUGCCAGCAGCCGCGGUAAUACGUAGGGGGCAAGCGUUGUCCGGAAUGAUUGGGCGUAAAGGGCGCGUAGGCGGCCCGGUAAGUCUGGAGUGAAAGUCCUGCUUUUAAGGUGGGAAUUGCUUUGGAUACUGUCGGGCUUGAGUGCAGGAGAGGUAAGCGGAAUUCCCGGUGUAGCGGUGAAAUGCGUAGAGAUCGGGAGGAACACCAGUGGCGAAGGCGGCUUACUGGACUGUAACUGACGCUGAGGCGCGAAAGUGUGGGGAGCAAACAGGAUUAGAUACCCUGGUAGUCCACACUGUAAACGAUGAAUGCUAGGUGUAGGGGGUAUCGACCCCUUCUGUGCCGGAGUAAACACAAUAAGCAUUCCGCCUGGGGAGUACGGCCGCAAGGUUGAAACUCAAAGGAAUUGACGGGGGCUCGCACAAGCAGCGGAGCAUGUGGUUUAAUUCGAAGCAACGCGAAGAACCUUACCAGGUCUUGACAUCCAGUAAAAACUGUAGAGAUACAGUGUGAGCUUGCUCAUACUGAGACAGGUGGUGCAUGGUUGUCGUCAGCUCGUGUCGUGAGAUGUUGGGGUAAGUCCCGCAACGAGCGCAACCCUUGUGAUCAGUUACUA